GGAAAUCUCACCAGGCCCGGACACUGGAAGGAUUGACAGAUUGAUAGCUCUUUCUUGAUUCAGUGGGUGGUGGUGCAUGGCCGUUCUUAGUUGGUGGAGUGAUUUGUCUGGUUAAUUCCGAUAACGAACGAGACCCCAACCUGCUAACUAGCCCUCGGGUCCUGCUUCUGUUGGGCCCGACGGAAUGAUUCGCUUCUUAGAGGGACUCGCGGCGCCUAGCCGCACGAAGGGGGGCGAUAA
rnacentral:rRNA from 1 species